UUUGCUUCAUCCUUUUACUCUUGGUGCUGGAGCCGGAGAAACGACGUGCCUCGAUGCCCCAGGCAGCCUGGGUACCGCGAGCUCUGUCCUUGGUGCCCAGACUGGUGGGCAGUCAUUCCUGGAAACAGAGUCAGGAGGACUUUCUCCAAAGCAUCCGGGGCAUCUCAGGACCGACUUGGCCGGGUUGCCAGACUGCUGUCCCUGUCCCCCUGCAGGCCGGCCAGGGCAGAAGACGCGAUGACCCAGGGUUCCCACACUUGCUAGCGGUUCCGGACGGCAGCAGAUCACUCCUUGGCUCCCUGGCCCCUUCCGUACCCGCCGUGGCCGCCCGCAGCUCCGUCCAUGGCGUUCGCCGAGCUCCUGGACCGAACGGGGGGCGUGGGCCUCUUCCAGGCCCUGCAGGUUUUCACUCUCUUCCUUCCCUCCGUCUUGCUGCCCUCCCACAUGCUCAUUGAGAACUUCUCGGCCGCCGUGCCCAGCCACCGCUGCUGGGUGCCCCUCCUGGACAACAGCACCGCCCAGGCCGGUGUCCCCGGGGCCCUGGGCCCCGAGGACCUCCUGACCGUCUCCAUCCCCCCGGGCCCCAACCACGAGCCCCACCGGUGUCGCCGCUUCCGCCAACCCCAGUGGCAGCUCCUGGACCCCAACGGCACGGCCACCAACUGGAGCGAGGCCGCCACGGAGCCGUGCGUGGACGGCUGGGUCUACGACCGCAGCACCUUCACCUCCACCUUCGUGUCAGAGUGGGACCUAGUGUGUGACCACAAGGACCUGAAGCCCAUCGGCCAAUCCCUCUACAUGACCGGGCUGCUGAUAGGGUCCUUCUCCUGGGGCCUCCUCUCCAACCGGUUUGGGCGGAAGUGGAUACUGAACUUGUGUUGUCUACAAGUGGCUUUGGCCAACAUCGGCGUGAUCUUCGUUUCCCAUUUCUUCAUCUACUGUGGCCUCCGGUUUCUGAGCGCCUUUGCAAUAUCCGGCAUCAUCAUGACCUCGGGGAUGCUUCUGGUGGAGUGGACCACGACCCGCAGGAGGGCUAUCACCAUGACAAUCCUGGGAUGCUUCUAUAGCCUGGGCCAGAUGGCCCUGGGGGCCCUGGCCUUCACCCUGCGGGACUGGCGCACCCUCCAGGUGGCCGUGUCGACGCCCUUCUUUGCCAUCUUCCUGAUAUGCUGGUGGCUUCCAGAGUCUGCCCGAUGGCUCAUUAUCAUGGGCAAACCAGAGCAAGGGCUGCAGGAGCUCCACAAGGUGGCCAAGAUAAAUGGCCACAAGGAAGCCACAAAGUCACUAACCAUAGAGGUGCUGAUGUCCAGCAUGGAGGAAGAGAUGACCUCUGCGAAGGGCCACAGCUCGGUGCUGGAACUGUUUCUCGUGCCCACGCUCCGCUGGCGGACCUGCGUCAUGUGCCUGGUGUGCUUCUCACAAGUGACAUCCUACUACGGGCUGGUCCUUGACCUGCAAAACCUGGGGAAUGACAUCUUCCUCCUCCAGGUUCUCUUUGGAGCCGUGGACCUACUGGCCCGGUCCAUCACCGCCUUCUUGCUCAGUUUCUUGGGCCGCCGCACAACCUUGGCCAGCUUCCAGGCUAUGGCUGGCCUCUCCAUACUGGCCAACAAACUGGUCCCACAAGACCCCACUGCCACCCUCUUCCUCUGCCCAGAUUGGCAGACCCUGCGCACGGUCUUUGCUGUGCUGGGAAAGGGAUGUUUUGGCAUCAUCUUUUCCUGCAUCUCCAUCUACAAGCCUGAACUCUACCCGACUGCGCUGCGGAUGACAGCAGAUGGCUUCCUGCAGUCGGUAGGUCGUCUGGGGUCUGUGAUAGACCCCCUGAUCAGGAUGACUCAGCAGAGCCUGCCCCUGCUGGUCCCCGUGGUCUACAGCGCUCUCCCCAUCACCUCUUGCCUCGUUCUCCUGAUCUUCCUCCCGGAGACCCAGGGAUUUCCACUUCCCGACACCAUCCAGGACCUGGAGAACCAGAACUCUAGGCCCAGGCAGAUGAACAGGCCGUUUCUCUCCGACCCUCUGGGAAGAGAUCAUGCUAUUCUCACGUCGUCCUUGGAGGGAACAGAAGUGAGGAAACGUUCCUCUGGUUUAUUUCAUGGCCAGAAUCACCACUACGCUCUGCUUCCUCAUUUGUAAAAUGGGCGUCAAGGAAACAACACAAAACCCAGCCAAGCUCCAAGAGAGGUCUUCAAGUUGAAGCGCUUAUAUUAAAGCGCGGAGAACAGCGCCUGGCCCGCAGCACAGGCCCCCGGGAGUGUGGCUGCUGUGUCCUGGGUGAGGGUGGUCCUGGGGAGCCCACAGGCUGAGCCGGAACCAAGGUCGUGCUAAUAAUAGGUACUGUUAUGUUCAGUUUCACUGCCGAGCGAAGGAAGACAGAGAGGGGCCGUGUAACUUGCCGAAGGACACUCAGCCAAGAAGCAGGGAAGCCGGGACUUAACUUACUCUUUCACUUUCGGGGGGACCUACUGUGUUUCGGGCACUGUCUUCCGCAUGGGGAACACGGCGGAAAAGAAAACCGCGAUCUCAUAGAGCUUACGUGCUCGUGAGACUUGACCCCCAGCCCUGCCCUCCAAGCCCCCCAGCCAUGUCACCACACACCACUCUGUCUUUUGAUUAUCCUAGGAAAUCGGCAGCGGCCACGGGCAACCGGCGAGAGGUGGUCGUUACGGAAAGUACCUCGUUCUAGAAAUUCUGCCUGCGUGGAGCCCCUUUGGCCAAAGAUCCGCACGGAGGGAACCGCCUCCUCUCCAACUGAGGGUGGAAGAAAUUGGAAGAACCUUGAGAGUUAGGCGGGGCCGGGGCUGGGCGUCUGGGCGCUGAGGCCGAAGGCUGCUUUCUCCCCUUACUUCUGUUCUCCCCCCACCUCAGCCCUGCAGAGCCGAGUCCGGCUGGCUGAUCGAGUCCACACCACUAACAAGACGGGUCCUUUCUCCUCCCCCUCAGGCUCCCGUCUCCACACCUUCACUCAGAACUCCUGACACUUCACUGACCCGGGCACCACAGUUUUCUCACCUCCAGGCUACCAGAGUGGAUCACAGGGCAGAAAGGGAAGGGUCUAGACAAACCUAGGUUCCAAUCUCUCCCCCAUCCUCUGCAGAGUCCUCAUCUGUAAAAUGGAAACGAUCAUGAAACCUUCCUCCACGGGGCAGGGGGUGGUGGGGACAGGGUUAACAGAUCUUAGCACGGCUGAGAGUCCAACAAAUAGCACCUGCUAACGGGGCUGCCGGGUACCGGUGUUCAGGUUGUGCACUGCCCAAGGCACCAGCUGAGGAGGCAUGUGGGGGCUGAAAUCCAACCCGGGCUCCGCUGGCGCAGAGAGGAGUUGUUUUCAUCCCCUCUUACUUAUCCAUUGGGGAGGAAGGGCUUCCCACCCAUGGUUAUGGGGAUGGCCUAACAUUGGACGGCUCAGGCCAGCAGCGUUCAUCGCUCACAGGUGUUCACGGCUCAGGGCGAGUGGCGCCAUGCAGCCCGCAGGGCGCGUGGGGCUGCACGCAGGAACAGCGUGAACCACCAGGGGCUGUGGGAGGAAGGCUUUGCGGCACCAAGAAGGCAGAGUGACCCCUGGUUCCCGGGGGAGGAUGUGAUCGGCUUGUCUGAGGAAUCCCACCCAUUGACAGGGCACUGAUGCUUUUGCUACGGGACCCUAUCCGCGGGAGCAGGAGGGGCGGGACUUGGAGUUCGGCCACUCGAGACCCUCCUGGAUUCCCUACCUGUCAAGGCAGCACAUAACAUCAGGCUUUAAUCUGAGCCCUUACACCACAAGGGCACCCCUUGGUUGUCUGUCUAUCUCAGUGGGUCGCCUUCGCCUAAUUCACGUAAAGACCCUCCCUGUGGGGGCAGCAGCCCGUGCCGCUAAAACUGUGGGAUCGCUGAGGCCGACCCCCUGGUUUAGAGGUGAGGAAACUAAAGCUCAGAGAGGUGGAGUGACCAGCUCGGAGUCCCACAGCCGAUCCCUGGCCCGGCUCCCAGUCCAGGGCUCUUGCCCGCACCCCGGGCUCCUCACCCCCCACCUCCAGCCGUCCAGGCCUGACAUCAGCAGCCCUGUCACAUCGUUACUCCCACACCCUUCCCUGGAGAGCCAGACCCUCUAGACAACUGCCCACUCCUCGGGCGACCCAGGGAAACCUCAAGCCGUGGAUUCCCCACCCCGGGCAUCCAUCCCCACAGCCCUCUGUCACAUCCGACUCCCACCAGGCUAAUCAAACACCACUCAAAUCAUGCUGCCCGUCUGCUUAAAGUCCUCUGGUGUCUCAUCAUAAAGAUCACACUUCCCCGCCCACAGGCUCCUACGGGUCCCUAGCCUUGCUUCGCAUGUAAUAAAUUUUUAAACAUUCAAAUCA